rnacentral:lncRNA from 1 species
AAAACCAGCUGAUUUAUUACACUUGUUCAUUUAUUAACUGCCAGUACACUCAUUUUCUUCAAACUCUUACUUUGAUGGUACGUCAGGAGUAUCAUGUUAGUAUAAGGAGAAUAGAUAUACAUUUACCUAAGCAACAAAUGAAUUCUGUAUUCUUUACAGUCUGUCCCUUCAAGCAGUUCAGAUUCCAGUAAGAAGGUAGUGGUUGUUGCCAACAGCAACCCUUUUCCACCUGUGGUAAGCUGUUUUUCUCUACAAUACAUGUUUUCUCUACAAAUCAUUUUGACUCAAAAACUUUAAAAUAUCUAAGUAUUUAAUUUUUCAGAAAUAUUACAGGAGACAAUUUUUUGGCAGGCAGGAUUUACUCUAUGUGUAUAGUUAUCUUCAGGGAAGGCUUAUCAUAAGAUAGGUACAAACUUUGUGGUACUGUGAUUGCUGUUAAUACUUGUAGGGACAAUGGAUUAACUGCAGACAUCAGGUCCCUCCAUGUAUGCAGUCUCUGUGUUCCUGAAUAAUUUUUGAUUUUCUUUUUCUAUUGCAAUUUUCUUCUGAAAGUUCACUUCCAUUCUCAUUUUUAAAUUAUUACAUUUCCACUCUGCUUACUUGGAACCAAGACUAAGUUUAGCGUUCAGGUACUUGAAAGUGAGCUUUAUAAUGUAAUAUUUUAUAUAUGUUUAAUUUCUAAUAGAACAUAUUGUUCUAACCUGAAUAAAGGUUAAGAUGCACUUGCUCUCUAUCAUCCUUUUUAUAUCAUUCCUUCACAUUCCACUAUUUAUCACAUCUGAAAUAUGAGGGCCCAUUUUCCCUUUUUCUGCUGCAAUAUUCUGUUUGGGCAAUCCCUUGUGCAAAAUAAUGAAAGAUUUUUCUGUUCUUUGCAGCGUCACACCUUCCCUCAGAGUUUGGGAAGCUCUGCUACGAGGAUCAUAGUACAGGUAGACAUUUUUUCUCCAUUAUACUUGAGUUUUAAAUGAGGAUUUAUCUGAGUAAACUAAGUAAUAAUUCCUCUCUUAGGGAACAAAUAAGUGUGGAUAACUUGGAAUUAUCUUAGAUGUCCACAAACUACAGUGGUGCAGUAGGGCAUUUCUGUGGCUAUAACAAAGGGGAUUCUUCACUGGUUGCUGAAUAAAGACUAUUGCAGCUGUUUUCCA